UUUAAAACUUAGCUCCCAAGCUACUUCACCUAAAGCUGCGGCUACGGGGAAUUAGCCGACUUGGCUGUUAUGCCGACACGGUAAAUCCGGAAACGGGUUUAUCUCCCUUAUAUUGGAAAGGAGUCAAUGGCACUGAGAA
rnacentral:ncRNA from 2 species